rnacentral:rRNA from 1 species
UGCAAGUAGAACGCUGAAGAGAGGAGCUUGCUCUUCUUGGAUGAGUUGCGAACGGGUGAGUAACGCGUAGGUAACCUGCCUUGUAGCGGGGGAUAACUAUUGGAAACGAUAGCUAAUACCGCAUAACAAUGGAUGACACAUGUCAUUUAUUUGAAAGGGGCAAUUGCUCCACUACAAGAUGGACCUGCGUUGUAUUAGCUAGUAGGUGAGGUAAUGGCUCACCUAGGCGACGAUACAUAGCCGACCUGAGAGGGUGAUCGGCCACACUGGGACUGAGACACGGCCCAGACUCCUACGGGAGGCAGCAGUAGGGAAUCUUCGGCAAUGGGGGCAACCCUGACCGAGCAACGCCGCGUGAGUGAAGAAGGUUUUCGGAUCGUAAAGCUCUGUUGUAAGUCAAGAACGGGUGUGAGAGUGGAAAGUUCACACUGUGACGGUAGCUUACCAGAAAGGGACGGCUAACUACGUGCCAGCAGCCGCGGUAAUACGUAGGUCCCGAGCGUUGUCCGGAUUUAUUGGGCGUAAAGCGAGCGCAGGCGGUUUGAUAAGUCUGAAGUUAAAGGCUGUGGCUCAACCAUAGUUCGCUUUGGAAACUGUCAAACUUGAGUGCAGAAGGGGAGAGUGGAAUUCCAUGUGUAGCGGUGAAAUGCGUAGAUAUAUGGAGGAACACCGGUGGCGAAAGCGGCUCUCUGGUCUGUAACUGACGCUGAGGCUCGAAAGCGUGGGGAGCGAACAGGAUUAGAUACCCUGGUAGUCCACGCCGUAAACGAUGAGUGCUAGGUGUUGGAUCCUUUCCGGGAUUCAGUGCCGCAGCUAACGCAUUAAGCACUCCGCCUGGGGAGUACGACCGCAAGGUUGAAACUCAAAGGAAUUGACGGGGGCCCGCACAAGCGGUGGAGCAUGUGGUUUAAUUCGAAGCAACGCGAAGAACCUUACCAGGUCUUGACAUCCCGAUGCUAUUUCUAGAGAUAGAAAGUUACUUCGGUACAUCGGUGACAGGUGGUGCAUGGUUGUCGUCAGCUCGUGUCGUGAGAUGUUGGGUUAAGUCCCGCAACGAGCGCAACCCCUAUUGUUAGUUGCCAUCAUUCAGUUGGGCACUCUAGCGAGACUGCCGGUAAUAAACCGGAGGAAGGUGGGGAUGACGUCAAAUCAUCAUGCCCCUUAUGACCUGGGCUACACACGUGCUACAAUGGUUGGUACAACGAGUUGCGAGUCGGUGACGGCGAGCUAAUCUCUUAAAGCCAAUCUCAGUUCGGAUUGUAGGCUGCAACUCGCCUACAUGAAGUCGGAAUCGCUAGUAAUCGCGGAUCAGCACGCCGCGGUGAAUACGUUCCCGGGCCUUGUACACACCGCCCGUCACACCACGAGAGUUUGUAACACCCGAAGUCGGUGAGGUAACCUUUUGGAGCCAGCCGCCUAAGGUGGGACAGAUGAUUGGGGUGAAGUCGUAACAAGGUAACCGA